UACGUAGGGUGCGAGCGUUGUCCGGAUUUAUUGGGCGUAAAGGGCUCGUAGGCGGCGUGUCGCGUCGGGAGUGAAAGCCCGUUGCUUAACGGCGGGUUGGCUUUCGGUACGGGCAUGCUGGAGUGCGGCAGGGGAGACUGGAAUUCCUGGUGUAGCGGUGGAAUGCGCAGAUAUCAGGAGGAACACCGGUGGCGAAGGCGGUUCUCUGGGCCUUACCUGGCGCUGAGGAGCGAAAGCGUGGGGAGCGAACAGG
rnacentral:rRNA from 1 species